rnacentral:rRNA from 1 species
AUUGAACGCUGGCGGCAGGCUUAACACAUGCAAGUCGAGCGGGGUGAUGGUGCUUGCACUAUCACUUAGCGGCGGACGGGUGAGUAAUGCUUAGGAAUCUGCCUAUUAGUGGGGGACAACAUCUCGAAAGGGAUGCUAAUACCGCAUACGUCCUACGGGAGAAAGCAGGGGAUCACUUGUGACCUUGAGCUAAUAGAUGAGCCUAAGUCGGAUUAGCUAGUUGGUGGGGUAAGGGCCUACCAAGGCGACGAUCUGUAGCGGGUCUGAGAGGAUGAUCCGCCACACUGGGACUGAGACAAGGCCCAGACUCCUACGGGAGGCAGCAGUGGGGAAUAUUGGACAAUGGGGGGAACCCUGGUCCAGCCAUGCCGCGUGUGCGAAGAAGGCCUUAUGGUUGUAAAGCACUUUAAGCGAGGAGGAGGCUCUUUUGGUUAAUACCCAAGAUGAGUGGACGUUACUCGCAGAAUAAGCACCGGCUAACUCUGUGCCAGCAGCCGCAGUAA